CUGCCGGGCGCGGGUAGCUUGGCCAUUCCUCGCUUGGUGCAUCGCUUGAAAACCGACGGUCAGCCUGCAGUGUAUGCCGCCGGCGUGCUUUCUUGCCAGAGAGAGACACAGUGGAUCCCUCAUCCUUGGCAUCCCUGCCUUCCCUCGGCAUUCGAGACAUCCCGGCAGCCGCGAGGGAGUACAGCCUGGCUCUGGUGGCACUUCCGAAUGAUCCCGAGCAGGCACAGGAUGCCGUGCAGGCAUUCCAGGACGAAGUGUCAGGUGAGCCACAGCUGCAGCUCAACGUGGAGUACCGCGUGGGUGGCCAGGAGUUUGUCACGCUGCUCACCCCGUCGGGCACCGACAUUGGCAAGACCCUGCUGCAGGAGGGCUGGGUGUUGCUGGAGGAGCGCCGUGACCGGCACCUCCAGGAGUUGCUUCAGGACUACGUGGCCGCCAGGGACUCGGCUAAGGCCAAGCGGCUGAACCUCUGGUGCUACGGCGACGUAACGGAGGACGACUCCAAGGAGUUUGGCUGGGGCCGUUGAGGAGGACCUGUCGCCGCAAAGUCAACUUCUGCCUCGCACACCUGUGGUGUGGGGGAGGAGGGGGUUCGGGUUGUUGCCGGUGGUGGAGGAGGAGCGGCUCUUCGCCCGUUGUCAAGGAGGCCCGCGGAGGCGGGGCGCUCCGGCUGAAGCACGGGGGAGAGCAGAGUUGCAGCCUCCUCCCCUCAUUUUAUUGUGAAGACUCUCUUUUGAAGAACACUGGCCUACAAAGGGGGGGAGGUGCAUUGCUCGUCAUCGACAUGUGUUGUCUGUGUCUCUCUCUUUUCUCUCUUAUUUUUUUUUCCUGCCGCGUCACUGAAAUGUCGGGCAGCGCUCUUGUGCCCCAUUUCAAUGGCUGUGGUGAGGCACGGGUCGGGACCCUGUGCCAGGUAGUACCAGUAGUAAUUGCCCCCUUGUACAGAGAGCUUGGGAAUGUAAAGCACAGAACUCAUGCCACCCGUAGCAGUCACACUCGCUCUCACUCUUUACACGUAGGGAGGAAAGGCUUCCAGAUGAUGUAAUCAAUGUUGUGUUACUGCACUGUUAAGUUAUGUCCGGGUCCUGGCUGGCAUCAAAACAUUGUCAACGUGACGUGUACAACAGCAUCCUCUGCGGGUCUCGGCUGUACCAGCCGGCAUCGCUCGACAGUGUGCAGUUUUGCCUAAUAUACAUAAAGUCUCAAACGACGCUGCCAAGUGGCAGUGAAUUAUCAACAUUAGCGAUUGUCCGUGCUGGCUUUGUUUGCCUGUGGGCUUGCUCCUUUAACCAUCUACAAAGCGACUGUUGGGGUGCAAGUCUUCGCGUAGUAGUUUGGUGAAAAGGCAUGGCUCCUAUUGCUGUGUUUCAGCGUGCUUUGUAAAGGUUUGACCCAUAUAUUGUGGUCUCUGCAACGAAACAGUGUCUUCUGACAUUAAAAGAAACGGCUUCUCCUUUUAUGGUACAGAUGGCCUAAUUUGGCGAUGCCUGUGUCUUCUCAUAGAUUCUCUUUUUUGUAUUGUUGUUCUCGCAUACAGUGGUUACUUAUACAUGACAGUAAAA
rnacentral:lncRNA from 1 species